rnacentral:lncRNA from 1 species
AAAGAAUUGAAAUGUAUCUUUUUGGAGACAAGUAUGGGAUUGAAGAAACAGUAUCACAUGGUUUAUGAGUGUAUCCCUCUCCCAAAGGAAGUGGGUGAUAUGGCUCCCAUCUAUUUUAAGAAAGCCAUAAUGGAAUCUGAUGAAGAAUGGUCUAUGAAUAAGAAGUUGAUUGAUUUGUCUUCAAAAGAUAUUAGAAAGUCUGUACCCAGAGGCUUGCCUUACUUUGCUGUAGACUUUGGACUUCAGGGAGGAUUUGCCCACAUCAUUGAAGAUCAGUACAAAUUUCCUCAUUACUUUGGAAAGGAAGUCAUUGGUGGUAUGCUGGAUCUAGAACCCAGGCUGUGGAGGAAUGGGAUCCGAGAAAGCUUUGAGGACCAGAGGAAGAAAGUGUUGCAGUUUGCUCAGUGGUGGAAACCAUAUGAUGUCACUAAAAGUAAAAGCAUUUAAGUGGGCGUUAUGUGUCCUUUUCUAUAUUGAGCCCAUUCAGUUUAUGUCUAUGAAUAACUGUGCCUUGGGCUCUAGGGAAAGCAGCAGCAGCAGCAGCAGCAGCAGCAGCAGCAGCAGCAACAGCAGCAGCAACAGUAGCAGGAGGCUACUCUAGUCACUGACAUCCAUGUUAGAUCAAGUUGUUUUCUUCCUCAUGGUUCCUGGAGACUUGGUUGGGUGACUGUGGAGUAAGAGGAAAUGCAUCAAGAUUAUCAGCUCACAUUUCUUUCUGUGUCUACUUCUCCACGUUCAAAUUACUCAGUUUCUCUAGAAAGGGACUUGUUUCCAGAGGUCUACUAAGGCUGCAGGGGAAAGUUGUCUGCUUCCAGGUAGAUUCUGACCUAGCUUCUUCUAUGCUUUUUAAACAAGACUGGAUGUAUUCAGUACUAAUUGAAAUUUCUUUUCUUAGUUUUACGGAAGAGUUUCUUUUUUUCUAGUAGCAUAUAGUAUUACUAUGUGUAUUGUCUUAGUUAAAGAAAAAGAUUAAAGGAUUAAAUGAUAGUGAAAAUAUUCAUAAAUAUAAGCUUAUUUGUUCUGGACUUGAAAUAGUCUGAAUUGUGGUAAUCAUAAAAGUAAUUUUCUAAAUAACACAAUUUUCAGUUCUUUGUAGUUCAUGUAACUCUAAAGUCUGUUGACAAAUCACUGUAUUAGGGUUGUAAUGUUAUCUCAGGUGCUAAAUAAUAGUAACAUAAGUGUCCAAGGAACACUCUCUUGUUCCUAUUUGAUUAAAGGUACUUAAGUUUUAUUGUUCUUAACAUUUGAUCUUGAGAAAGCCUUGGAUUUAUAAAAUAUAAAUUGUAGUAAGUACGUUUUAGCAUGCCUUUAAAACUCUGAAUGCCUAGAAUCAGUGUAUCAGUGUAAAGUGUGCUUCAGAGUAACUCAUUACAUAUUUAAUGUCAGGUUGUCACUGUUUCCACAUAUAUUAUUUGUAUGUAAAAAAGGCAACUUUUUUUCUUUUCAAAUUUCACAAAUGUGUUGAAGCUUAAUAGUUUUUUUUAACCUUCAAUACUUAAAAAUUACAUCUAAAUGUGGAUGUAUAUAUAUUAAGCAGAUAUGAUGGCUAUUACAGUCUUUUCAACUAUUGGCUUUGCCAUAAGUCUUACAUUCAUUUUUAUAAUCAGCGAAUUAAAACAUUUGAUUAUAGAGUGCUAUGUUAUGUUGAUAGUUCAAAAAAUAUAAAUACUCCUGCCUCAGAGUCUACUGAAUCUGUAGCGUUUGUGUCCUACCUGAACUGCUUUUGCCCUGGCUCCAGUUACUUCUUGAUGUGCAAUCAAUUUUCUCAAAACCUCUGUGAUAUUUAAUAGUAGCUAUUAUUUUGU